AAUAAAAAAUUAAAUUCAAUUAAAAAAAUAAUGACAAAUAAAAACUAGUAAAAAAACGGAGGCAGUAAUUAGAAGUGGGAUAAUAAUUGCCAUUUUUUCAAAAACUUGAAUUAGAGAAGAGAAGCCGAACCGACCCAUCUCUCAUUCCAAACCGCGCAGUCCCUCUACAAUAUCAGACCCCUAGCAUUCACAUAAAGCUCCGAUUGACGAAUUUUUUCAAUAUGAGAAGCGAAGAAAGCUGCCCCAAAAUACAAAAGAAGGAAAAUCUUUUCAAUCAAAUUAUUGUUAGCAAUGGAGAAGAAGCCAACCAAAAGUUUUAUCAAAUUUGCGAAGGUUCAGUGGAAGAAUCGUCCUAUUGCGGAGGCCACUUGGAAGACCGAAGUAGACAUGCAUAGCAAGUAUGUGCAUCUUUUUGGUAACUCAGAUUUUGAUCAUUCAGAGACUUCACGGAAGGAAAAGACCCUUGCAAAUUAGCUCGUAUUUGAAUUCUUCGGUUGAGAAAUUGUUCUAGAGGCUCAUAUAUGAUCUCACCUCUAGAGUUUGAUAGCAGAUCUUGAUCCAAGGGUGAGCACUCCAUCUCCAGGCUUCCAUGGGUCAUCUUAUUUUUUCUUGUCCAUCUUUCGGGCAAUGAAAUAUUCUUUAUUUACUUUAUUUUGAGAAAUCUCUUUAGACAUGAUCUUUGUUAGUAGUUCUUGUACGAUGACUUUCGGGUCUUGGCGAUUUGAGUAGGUAGUUUAUUUGACUUCCCCAUUAAUAACGAUUAGUCUUGUAUUAUGGUUAAUAUAUUGAUUUUAUAAUAAUAUCAUCUUAAUAUUGACUAAGUGUUUUGGUAAUGGUUCGGUUU